rnacentral:rRNA from 1 species
ACACGGAAAGAAGAAAAAGGGGGGCACCCAAAAAAUAACACGUGAGUAAUCUGCCCUUCACUUGGGGAUAACGUCCAGAAAUGGGUGCUAAUACCCGGUACUCCCGUGUCCACGCAUGUGGGUGUGGGGAAAGGUUUUUCUGGUGGGGGAUGUGCUCGCGGCCUAUCAGCUUGUUGGUGGGGUAAUGGCCUACCAAGGCUUUGACGGGUAGCCGGCCUGAGAGGGUGACCGGCCACACUGGGACUGAGACACGGCCCAGACUCCUACGGGAGGCAGCAGUGGGGAAUAUUGGACAAUGGGCGGAAGCCUGAUCCAGCAACGCCGCGUGAGGGAUGACGGCCUUCGGGUUGUAAACCUCUUUCACCAUUGACGAAGCUGCAUCUUUUUGGGUGUGGUGACGGUAGGUGGGGAAGAAGCACCGGCCAACUACGUGCCAGCAGCCGCGGUAAUACGUAGGGUGCGAGCGUUGUCCGGAAUUAUUGGGCGUAAAGGGCUCGUAGGCGGUUUGUCGCGUCGGGAGUGAAAACCUCGGGCUUAACUCGGGGCUUGCUUUCGAUACGGGCAGACUAGAGGUAUGCAGGGGAGAACGGAAUUCCUGGUGUAGCGGU